CGGGCGGCCGCCGCCGCAGGCGCAGUCCUACUCCGACCACUCGGAUUUCCGCCGCGAUUCCUCCUGUUCGCUCCGUCCUUGCGGUACGUUCCAGAUCUCAGUGAUUAAAUCCUUCAGAUUGCGCAGCCGUUCUCAGAUUUGAUGCUCACCCUUUCAUUCCUGUUCCGUGCCGGGCCUCCGUGCCUUCUUCUCCGCGCCGGCGCUGUCCCCGGCGGUCUGUGAAGUGGGAUUUUCUGCGUGGUGGUUCCCCUGCUUGGAGCGUCGCACGAAGCUUGCGUCUACUCUUCGCGUCAGCUCGCAGUGGCGCUUGACAUGUGAGUGCACAUUGGUGGACCCGUUCAACUGGACGGACGCAGAGAAGACACAACGGCAGCUCGUGUAAGGGGGAAGGGCCGGAGGGGCACGACGAAGGUGCCGCAGCUGCAGUCUUCUUUUCGCUCCAAUAAUAGGCCGUAAUGUUGUACAUGCUCUGCAUGGUCAUAGAUUCGUCUUCAGCAGGCGAGCCAUCUGGCGGCAACCCCGCCAUUGCCAAUUGACGUCGGCAUCAUCUCGAUUUGCUCGCAUUUGCCUCAACCUAUCACCGUCAAGCUCCUUCCCAUGAGCAACAUCCUACGGCAGGCCAGCAGCAACGUCUCCACGCACGCUGGUGGAGUCUGUCUGCCUCAAUUCAGCUAAUCAGGCGUGUGCCAACCGAUCAUAUUUGCUCCUCACGGGUCCGCUACCAGUUCUGGGUACAAUUAGCCCCCCUCCCUCCUCAAAUGGUGUAGUAGUGGAUUCAAAUAGUUCAUGUACCCUCUUUUGUUUCUCAAAUUAAUCUGCAAUUCUUAUCCGUAGCCUUUUGUGUGCCCAUAAUUUUGAUCCCUAUAAUUUCAUUUACCUCUGUUUGGCCGAACAGGGAGAACCAACAUUUACAUAAGAAAAAGUUGCAGAUAUCAAAUGUUUGCGUA